rnacentral:rRNA from 1 species
GAUGAACGCUGGCGGCGUGCCUAAUACAUGCAAGUCGAGCUAACGGACGAGAAGCUUGCUUUUCUGAUGUUAGCGGCGGACGGGUGAGUAACACGUGGAUAACCUCCCUAUAAUACUGGGAUCAUUUCGGGAAACCGGAGCUAAUACCGGAGAAUAUUUUGAACCGCAUGGGUCAAAAGUGAAAGACGGUCUUUCUGUCACUUAUAGAUGGAUACGCGCUGCAUUAGCUAGUUGGUACGGUACAGGCUUACCAAGGCAGCGAUGCAUAGCCGACCUGAGAGGGUGAUCGGCCACACUGGAAGUGAGACACGGUCCAGACUCCUACGGGAGGCAGCAGUAGGGAAUCUUCCGCAAUGGGCGAAAGCCUGACGGAGCAACGCCGCGUGAGUGAUGAAGGUCUUCUGAUCGUAAAACUCUGUUAUUAGUGAAGAACAUAUGUGUAAGUAAAUGUGCACAUCUUGACGGUACCUAAUCAGAAAGCCACGGCUAACUACGUG